rnacentral:rRNA from 1 species
UGGGGAAUAUUGGACAAUGGGCGAAAGCCUGAUCCAGCCAUGCCGCGUGUGUGAAGAAGGUCUUCGGAUUGUAAAGCACUUUAAGUUGGGAGGAAGGGCAGUAAGCGAAUACCUUGCUGUUUUGACGUUACCGACAGAAUAAGCACCGGCUAACUCUGUGCCAGCAGCCGCGGUAAUACAGAGGGUGCAAGCGUUAAUCGGAAUUACUGGGCGUAAAGCGCGCGUAGGUGGUUCGUUAAGUUGAAUGUGAAAGCCCCGGGCUCAACCUGGGAACUGCAUCCAAAACUGGCGAGCUUGAGUAGUGCAGAGGGUGGUGGAAUUUCUUGUGUAGCGGUGAAAUGCGUAGAUAUAGGAAGGAACACCAGUGGCGAAGGCGACCACCUGGGCUCAUACUGACACUGAGGUGCGAAAGCGUGGGGAGCAAACAGG